CAUUGAUGAAGCUCUUGUUGGCACCAUAAAUUGGUUUUGCUCUGUCUUGAUCAAGAGUGUGUGAAGCUUUUGAGAAUUGUGGUUGAACUCCUUUGAUGAAGCUCUUGUUAGCACCAUAAAUUGGUUUUGCUUCACACUGUCUUGAUCAAGAGUGUGUGAAGCUUUUGAGGUUGCCCUCUAUUGAUGAAGCUUGUUGGCACCAUAAAUUGGUUUUGUUUCACAUUGUCUUGAUCAAGAGUGUGUGAAGCUUUUGAGAAUUGUGGUUGCCCUCCAUUGAUGAAGCUUUUGUUGUUGGCACCAUAAAUUGGUUUUGCUUCACACUAUCUUGAUUAAGAGUGUGUAAAGCUUUUGAGAAUUAUGGUUGCCCUCCAUUAAUGAAGCUCUUGUUGGCACCAUAAAUUGAUUUUGCUUUACACUGUCUUGAUCAAGAGUGUGUGAAGCUUUUGAGAAUUAUGGUUGCCCUCCAUUGAUGAAGCUCUUGUUGGCACCAUAAAUUGAUUUUGCUUCACACUGUCUUGAUCAAGAGUGUGUGAAGCUUUUGAGAAUUGGGGUUGAACUCCUUUGAUGAAGCUCUUGUUGGCACCAUAAAUUGUUUUGCUUCACGCUGUCUUGAUCAAAAGUGUGUGAAACUUUUGAGAAUUGUGGUUGCCCACCAUUGAUGAAGCUUUUGUUGGCACCAUAAAUUGGUUUUGCUUCAUACUGUCUUAAUCAAGAAUGUGUGAAGCUUUCUACGAGUUGUGGUGUUUGCAUUGUUAUAGAGGAGAAAUGUUUGAAGCAGAUGAAAGAGGGCUGAAUAGCUUGAUCUUCGUAUGCCAUGCACUGAAGUUGUUGUUGGCUUGCAAUAAGACUUUGUUAGUGACUAUAACUCUUGUUGGGCAUAAAUGCUCCCCUAGUUGAGUUGUCAAGCUUGAGGAUUUUUUAUUAUUUGUGAAUGCUAGGAGUUCAUAUGUACAAGUUGUACCACUCGUCUUCUGGUAGAUUGAAUGAAUGGUAAGUUGCUUUCAUCACUUGGUUGGUGGUACGAAUGUGAGCUCCUUCAUCACCUUUCAUCACAGUUCAUCACCUGGUUGGUAGCAUGAUGAUGAGUUCCUUUAUCACCUUUCAUCACAUUUCAUGACCUGAUUGGUAGCACGGGGAUGGGUUUCUUCUUCCCCUGGUUGGUGGCAUGAAUGGCAAGUUGCCAAAUGAUAUUAAAGUACGGGUUGUACAUUUCAUCACCUGGUUGGUGGCAUGAAGAUGAGUUUCUUCUUCACCUUGUUGGUGGCAUGAGUGGCAAGUUGCCAAAUGAUAUUAGAGUAUGGGUUGUACAUUUCAUCACCUGGUUGGUGGCAUGAAUGGCAAGUUGCCAAAUGAUAUUAGAGUACGGGUUGUACAUUUCAUCACUUGGUUG
rnacentral:lncRNA from 1 species